GACGAACGCUGGCGGCGUGCUUAACACAUGCAAGUCGAACGGAAAGGCCCUGCUUUUGUGGGGUGCUCGAGUGGCGAACGGGUGAGUAACACGUGAGUAACCUGCCCUUGACUUUGGGAUAACUUCAGGAAACUGGGGCUAAUACCGGAUAGGAGCUCCUGCUGCAUGGUGGGGGUUGGAAAGUUUCGGCGGUUGGGGAUGGACUCGCGGCUUAUCAGCUUGUUGGUGGGGUAGUGGCUUACCAAGGCUUUGACGGGUAGCCGGCCUGAGAGGGUGACCGGCCACAUUAGGACUGAGAUACGGCGCAGACGCCUACGGGAGGCAGCGGUGGGGAGUAUUGCACAAUGGGCGGAAGCCUGAUGCAGCAACGCCGCGUGCGGGAUGACGGCCUUCGGGUUGUAAACCGCUUUCGCCUGUGACGAAGCGUGAGUGACGGUAAUGGGUAAAGAAGCACCGGCUAACUACGUG
rnacentral:rRNA from 1 species